AUAAAUUGGGUGCUUUUAUUUAAUUUUUAGUUGACCCUGGCUUGCUUCUUCCGGCUGAGUUCGUCUGGAGGGGCAAGAGGGGCUCUAGCCCACAGUGCAAGAAGUCCGGUAGCGAAGAAGAGAAGGAUAACUUUGCCAACAAACAUGCCGGAGGCACACAAACUCAAACGAAUCCACAACAUGAAUGUGGUAGAUCAUCUAUUGGAGCACAGAUUUGAGACCCUUAGUCUGGAGGAAAAAUUAGAGAAAGACAUACCUGUCCUCAGAAAAUGGUGGUGUACAGUACUGCUUGAGAACUUCCACCUGGAUGGGCACGGCAGAAGGUUCCCACACUUCAUGGAGGAGGCCAAACAAAUGGCGGCUGAACUACUUCCAACAGUCUACAGACUGAAGCGAAAAAGAGAAUGAGUUGGAGCUGAUGGCAGUCAGCAUGAAGAAGCUAUAUCUUUAAGAUUCUGUCGAUUAUUUGUUAAAUAAAUUGUGAG